rnacentral:rRNA from 1 species
AGAGUUUGAUCCUGGCUCAGGAUGAACGCUAGCGGCAGGCCUAACACAUGCAAGUCGAGGGGUAACAUUUUGUGCUUGCACAAAGAUGACGACCGGCGCACGGGUGCGCACCGCGUAUGGAACCUACCUUUUACAGGGGAAUAGCCCAGGGAAACUUGGAUUAAUGCCCCGUAGUACCUUUAUAUAGCAUUAUAUUUUGGUUAAAGGCUUCGGCCGGUAGAAGAUGGCCAUGCGUCCCAUUAGUUAGUUGGCGGGGUAACGGCCCACCAAGACGGCGAUGUGUAGGGGCCCUGAGAGGGGGAUCCCCCACACUGGUACUGAGACACGGACCAGACUCCUACGGGAGGCAGCAGUGAGGAAUAUUGGACAAUGGAGGAGACUCUGAUCCAGCCAUGCCGCGUGCAGGAAGAAUGCCCUAUGGGUAGUAAACUGCUUUUAUACGGGAAGAAAAAGGGCUACGUGUAGCCUGUUGACGGUACCGUAAGAAUAAGGACCGGCUAACUCCGUGCCAGCAGCCGCGGUAAUACGGAGGGUCCGAGCGUUAUCCGGAAUUAUUGGGUUUAAAGGGUCCGUAGGCGGGCGUUUAAGUCAGUGGUGAAAGUCUGCAGCUCAACUGUAGAACUGCCUUUGAUACUGAACGUCUUGAGUUAUGGUGAAGUUGCCGGAAUAUGUAGUGUAGCGGUGAAAUGCAUAGAUAUUACAUAGAACACCGAUUGCGAAGGCAGGUGACUAACCAUAUACUGACGCUGAUGGACGAAAGCGUGGGGAGCGAACAGGAUUAGAUACCCUGGUAGUCCACGCCGUAAACGAUGGAUACUAGCUGUCCGGGCCCUUGAGGUCUGGGCGGCCAAGCGAAAGUGAUAAGUAUCCCACCUGGGGAGUACGUUCGCAAGAAUGAAACUCAAAGGAAUUGACGGGGGCCCGCACAAGCGGUGGAGCAUGUGGUUUAAUUCGAUGAUACGCGAGGAACCUUACCAGGGCUUAAAUGCAUAUUGACAGGGCCAGAGAUGGCUUUUCCUUCGGGCAAUUUGCAAGGUGCUGCAUGGUUGUCGUCAGCUCGUGCCGUGAGGUGUCAGGUUAAGUCCUAUAACGAGCGCAACCCCUGCCGUUAGUUGCCAGCAUGUAAAGAUGGGGACUCUAACGGGACUGCCGGUGCAAACCGUGAGGAAGGUGGGGAUGACGUCAAAUCAUCACGGCCCUUACGUCCUGGGCCACACACGUGCUACAAUGGUAGGUACAGAGAGCAGCCACGUCGCAAGGCGGAGCGAAUCUAUAAAACCUAUCACAGUUCGGAUCGGGGUCUGCAACUCGACCCCGUGAAGCUGGAAUCGCUAGUAAUCGGAUAUCAGCCAUGAUCCGGUGAAUACGUUCCCGGGCCUUGUACACACCGCCCGUCAAGCCAUGGAAGCCGGGAGUGCCUGAAGUCCGUCACCGUAAGGAGCGGCCUAGGGCAAGAUCGGUAACUAGGGCUAAGUCGUAACAAGGUA